UGGGGAAUUUUGGACAAUGGGGGAAACCCUGAUCCAGCCAUCCCGCGUGUGCGAUGAAGGCCUUCGGGUUGUAAAGCACUUUUGGCAGGAAAGAAACGUCAUGGGUUAAUACCCCGUGAAACUGACGGUACCUGCAGAAUAAGCACCGGCUAACUACGUGCCAGCAGCCGCGGUAAUACGUAGGGUGCAAGCGUUAAUCGGAAUUACUGGGCGUAAAGCGUGCGCAGGAGGUUCGGAAAGAAAGAUGUGAAAUCCCAGAGCUCAACUUUGGAACUGCAUUUUUAACUACCGGGCUAGAGUGUGUCAGAGGGAGGUGGAAUUCCGCGUGUAGCAGUGAAAUGCGUAGAUAUGCGGAGGAACACCGAUGGCGAAGGCAGCCUCCUGGGAUAACACUGACGCUCAUGCACGAAAGCGUGGGGAGCAAACAGG
rnacentral:rRNA from 1 species